rnacentral:rRNA from 1 species
GACGAACGCUGGCGUCGUGCCUAAUACCUGCAAGUAGAACGCAGUUGCGAACGGGUGAGUAAUGCGUAGGUAACUGCCUCAUAGCGGGGGAUAACUCUUGGAAACGAUAGCUAAUACCGCAUACUGUGCGUUGUACCUGCGUUGUAUUAGCUAGUUGGGGAGGUAAAGACUCACCAAGGCGACCAUACAUAGCCGACCUGAGAGGGUGAGCGGCCACACAGGGACUGGGACACGGCCCGGACUUCUGCGGGAGGCAGCAGUAGGGACUCUUCGGCAAUGGGCGGAAUUCUGACCAAGCAACGCGGCGGGGGUGAAGAAGGUUUUCGGAUCGUAAAGCCCGGUUGUUAGAGAAGCGGGAACUAACCAGAAAGGGACGGCUAACUACGUGCCAGCAGCCGCGGUAAUAC